GAUGAACGCUGGCGGCGUGCCUAAUACAUGCAAGUCGAGCGAACAGACGAGGAGCUUGCUCCUCUGACGUUAGCGGCGGACGGGUGAGUAACACGUGGAUAACCUACCUAUAAGACUGGGAUAACUUCGGGAAACCGGAGCUAAUACCGGAUAAUAUAUUGAACCGCAUGGUUCAAUAGUGAAAGACGGUUUUGCUGUCACUUAUAGAUGGAUCUGCGCCGCAUUAGCUAGUUGGUAAGGUAAAGGCUUACCAAGGCGACGAUGCGUAGCCGACCUGAGAGGGUGAUCGGCCACACUGGAACUGAGACACGGUCCAGACUACUACGGGAGGCAGCAGUAGGGAAUCUUCGGCAAUGGGCGAAAGCCUGACGGAGCAACGCCGCGUGAGUGAUGAAGGUCUUCGGAUCGUAAAACUCUGUUAUUAGGGAAGAACAAAUGUGUAAGUAACUAUGCACGUCUUGACGGUACCUAAUCAGAAAGCCACGGCUAACUACGUG
rnacentral:rRNA from 1 species